UCAUCUUUGUGAAUAUUAAUUUUAGUAUGUAUAUAUAUAUAUAUACACACAUACAUACUAAAAUUAAUAUUCACAAAGAUUUGA
rnacentral:miRNA from 1 species